rnacentral:rRNA from 1 species
GACGGAGGGGGCUAGCGUUGUUCGGAAUGACUGGGCGUAAAGGGCGCGUAGGCGGUAUUUUAAGUGAGGCGUGAAAGCCCCGGGCUUAACCCGGGAGGUGCGUUUCAUACUGGAAUGCUAGAGUGCGAGAGAGGAAAGUGGAAUUCCUAGUGUAGAGGUGAAAUUCGUAGAUAUUAGGAAGAACACCAGAGGCGAAGGCGGCUUUCUGGCUCGCAACUGACGCUGAGGCGCGAAAGCGUGGGGAGCAAACAGG